CAGUUAACUGGUGUUACUGUGUGUGUGUUCUCUCUAGGAGCAGACCCUGGGUCAGUUAACUGGUGUUACUGUGUGUGUUCUCUCUAGGAGCAGACCCUGGGUCAGUUAACUGGUGUUACUGUGUGUGUUCUCUCCAGGAGCAGACCCUGGGUCAGUUAACUGGUGUUACUGUGUGUGUGUUCUCUCUAGGAGCAGACCCUGGGUCAGUUAACUGGUGUUACUGUUAUACAGUUAACUGGUGUUACUGUGUGUGUUCUCUCUAGGAGCAGACCCUGGGUCAGUUAACUGGUGUUACUCUGUGUGUGUUCUCUCUAGGAGCAGACCCUGGGUCAGUUAACUGGUGUUACUGUUAUACAGGUAACUGUUGUUACUGUGUGUGUUCUCUCCAGGAGCAGACCCUGGGUCAGUUAACUGGUGUUACUCUGUGUGUGUUCUCUCUAGGAGCAGACCCUGGGUCAGUUAACUGGUGUUACUGUGUGUUCUCUCCAGGAACAGACCCUGGGUCAGUUACUAGACAUCCUGUCUCAGGAUUCAGAGGGCUUCCCCAGACGUGCUGUGGUCCAGUACUUCAUCAGCUGGCUAAAGACACACCCUUCAUCUUCCUCCUCCUCCUCCUCCUCGCUGUGUUCUGUCCUAUCGCUGGGCAGCACUGAUCUGGACUGGGAGGUCAAAGUUCACACCCUGGAGCUGGUUGAGCUCCUAAUGGAGGAAACACUACCAGGUCACCAGGAGUCAGAGCUGGGGUCAACUCCUCCCCUUACGGUGGCUCUGGAGGGACAAACCUACUAACACACACUGACCUCACACAUCCCUACGCUGUGACGCCAAGCCAGCCCUCACCCCUUCUAACACACACCCCAACUGACACACACACCCCCUCACACACACACACACCCAACUACAUCUGUAGUGUGUGGUCUGUCUCGGUUGGUGGAGCUCGGUGUUAUAACAGCGUUAUUCAAUGGCCUGUUUGAUUGCGACAGACCUGUAGCUUUAAAAGCCUGUAGUCUGUUGCUACGACUACGAGACGGCGGUGUGUCCGUCCCGGUCGCUAGGGAAAGGUGCCAUGACAACUGACGACACAACAGUUGCCAAGGUGACUUUUGAUCUGAGGGGUCAGGUUUGGGAGCGGGAGGCAACGAGGAAGUUACAGGAGAAGAGAGGAUCUGAUUGGGUUAAAGAGUCCAGGGAAGUAGGUUGUGAUAGGCCGAACAAGAACAGAGAUUCUGAUAGGACAGACGGGGCUGGUUCCGAAGCCUGCGAUAGGUCGACGGGGAAGAGUGUGUGUGAGGGUAGUGCGAGGGUGUGUGAGGUGCUGUGGUCGUUGGGUCUAGAGGAGAGGCAGAGUGUGUUAUCACAGAGUAGUGACCAUGUCCAGAACUCACCCCUCUCUCUACUGGAGGACAUUCUGAACGCUACAGACACCUCACACACUGACGAGGUUAUAGUAGACUGUUACUGACACACGUCCUGAUGGACGAACACAGUUUUAUUUGUGAUGAUUGUUUCUCCUCUGUACGUUGACUAGUGACUGUAGUUAGAGUCCCAUUGGGACAUAACUGUUGAUCAUCUACCAGGAAAAUAAAUAAAGAUACUGUUUUGAUAUUUCAAA